rnacentral:tRNA from 1 species
UGUCGCGUGGCCGAGUGGUGAGGUAAAGGCCUGCAAAGCCUUUUACGAUGGUUCGAAUCCAUCCGCGGCUAUCCA